UACGUAGGGCGCAAGCGUUGUCCGGAAUUAUUGGGCGUAAAGAGCGUGUAGGCGGCCACUUAAGUCCUGCGUGAAAUCUUGCGGCUCAACCGCAAGCGGUCGUGGGAAACUGGGUGGCUAGAGUGCGGGAGAGGAGAGUGGAAUUCCUGGUGUAGCGGUGGAAUGCGCAGAUAUCAGGAAGAACACCCGUGGCGAAGGCGGCUCUCUGGAACGCAACUGACGCUGAGACGCGAAAGCGUGGGGAGCAAACAGG
rnacentral:rRNA from 1 species